GACGAACGCUGGCGGCGUGCUUAACACAUGCAAGUCGAACGGAAAGGCCCUGCUUGCAGGGUACUCGAGUGGCGAACGGGUGAGUAACACGUGGGUGAUCUGCCCUGCACUUCGGGAUAAGCCUGGGAAACUGGGUCUAAUACCGGAUAGGAGCCAUUUUUAGUGUGAUGGUUGGAAAGUUUUUUCGGUGUAGGAUGAGCUCGCGGCCUAUCGGCUUGUUGGUGGGGUAAUGGCCUACCAAGGCGGCGACGGGUAGCCGGCCUGAGAGGGUGGACGGCCACAUUGGGACUGAGAUACGGCCCAGACUCCUACGGGAGGCAGCAGUGGGGAAUAUUGCACAAUGGGCGCAAGCCUGAUGCAGCGACGCCGCGUGGGGGAUGACGGCCUUCGGGUUGUAAACUCCUUUCGCUAGGGACGAAGCUUUUGUGACGGUACCUAGAUAAGAAGCACCGGCUAACUACGUG
rnacentral:rRNA from 1 species